AAGGAUCAUUACCGAGUGUCGGGCCCUCUGGGUCCACCCUCCCACCCGUGUCUACCGUCCCUUGUUGCUUCGGCGGGCCCGCCCUUCGGGGCUGCCGGGGGGCCUCGCGCCCCCGGGUUCCGCGCCCGCCGGAGACAUCCACGAACACUGUGUGAAGGUUGCCGUCUGAGUGGAUUUAUCCAAUCGUUAAAACUUUCAACAACGGAUCUCUUGGUUCCGGCAUCGAUGAAGAACGCAGCGAAACGCGAUAGUUAAUGUGAAUUGCAGAAUUCAGUGAAUCAUCGAGUCUUUGAACGCACAUUGCGCCCCCUGGUAUUCCGGGGGGCAUGCCUGUCCGAGCGUCAUUGCUGCCCAUCAAGCGCGGCUUGUGUGUUGGGCCACCGUCCCCCCUCGGGGGGACGGGCCCGAAAGGCAGCGGCGGCACCGCGUCCGGUCCUCGAGCGUAUGGGGCUCUGUCACCCGCUCUGGAGGCCCGGCCGGCGCCUGCCGACCCUAACCUUUUUUUAACCAGGUUGACCUCGGAUCAGGUAGGGAUACCCGCUGAACUUAAGCAUAUCAAUAAGCGGAGGAAAAGAAACCAACCGGGAUUGCCUCAGUAACGGCGAGUGAAGCGGCAAGAGCUCAAAUUUGAAAUCUGGCCCCUCCGGGGUCCGAGUUGUAAUUUGCAGAGGAUGCUUCGGGCGCAGCCCCCGUCUAAGUGCCCUGGAACGGGCCGUCAUAGAGGGUGAGAAUCCUGUCUGGGACGGGGUGUCUGUGUCCGUGUGAAGCUCCUUCGACGAGUCGAGUUGUUUGGGAAUGCAGCUCUAAAUGGGUGGUAAAUUUCAUCUAAAGCUAAAUACUGGCCGGAGACCGAUAGCGCACAAGUAGAGUGAUCGAAAGAUGAAAAGCACUUUGAAAAGAGAGUUAAACAGCACGUGAAAUUGUUGAAAGGGAAGCGCUUGCGACCAGACUCGCCCGCGGGGUUCAGCCGGCCUUUGGGCCGGUGUACUUCCCCGCGGACGGGCCAGCGUCGGUUUGGGCGGCCGGUCAAAGGCCCCGGGAAUGUAUCGCCCUCCGGGGCGUCUUAUAGCCCGGGGUGCAAUGCGGCCUGCCCGGACCGAGGAACGCGCUUCGGCACGGACGCUGGCAUAAUGGUCAUAAGCGACC
rnacentral:rRNA from 1 species